UACGAAGGGUGCAAACGUUGCUCGGAAUCAUUGGGCGUAAAGCGCACGUAGGCGGCCCUGUAAGUCGGAUGUGAAAUCCCUCGGCUCAACCGAGGACGUGCAUCCGAAACUGCAGAGCUCGAGUAUGGAAGAGGGUCGCGGAAUUCCCGGUGUAGAGGUGAAAUUCGUAGAUAUCGGGAGGAACACCAGUGGCGAAGGCGGCGACCUGGGCCAAUACUGACGCUGAGGUGCGAAAGCGUGGGGAGCAAAC
rnacentral:rRNA from 1 species